rnacentral:rRNA from 1 species
UACGUAGGGUGCGAGCGUUUGUCCGGAAUUACUGGGCGUAAAGAGCUCGUAGGUGGUUUGUCGCGUUGUCCGUGAAAACUCACAGCUUAACUGUGGGCGUGCGGGCGAUACGGGCAGACUGGAGUACUGCAGGGGGAGACUGGAAUUCCUGGUGUAGCGGUGGAAUGCGCAGAUAUCAGGAGGAACACCGGUGGCGAAGGCGGGUCUCUGGGCAGUAACUGACGCUGAGGAGCGAAAGCGUGGGGAGCGAACAGG